GCCUCCUUAGCACAAUAGGCAGCAUGCCAGUCUCAUAAUCUGAAGGUCUUAAGUUUGAACCUUAAAGAGGGCA
rnacentral:tRNA from 1 species